rfam:TPA: Bos taurus chromosome 1, whole genome shotgun sequence.
UCCCUUGUAGCUCAGCUGCUAUAGAAUCUGCCUGCAAUGCAGGAGACCCUGGUUCAAUUCCUGGGUUGGGAA